AGUCAAACAGAAGGCGGACUGUCCGCGCGGGCGGAACGACCGCAGUCCGCCGCGGACUAGGGAAGCCAGACAGAAUGCGGACAAGUCGAGGCGAACCAGUGUGAAAACAGUUGCAGUGAAACAGUGUGAUAUUCAAUUCUCUGUCUGGAAUUCGUGUUUUCUUGUUGUCAUUUCAAGAUGUCCAGCAGUUCAUCUGACGAAGAAGAGUUACUUCUUAUGUUCGCUUUGAGUAAAGCAAAAAGAAAAAGAAAAUGGGUGCAUGAAAUAAAUGAAACAAGAGAGGUGUUCGGCGAGUUUCACCGAUUAUGCUGUGAGUUGAGUUCAUUCGAAGACCGAUUUUUCACAUAUUUUCGAAUGUCUCAAGAACAAUUUGACAAAUUGCAUACCCUCCUUGAACAUAAAAUAUCAAAAGUGGCCACUAACUGGAGGAAACCCAUUGGGACGAAGGAAAGACUAGCUAUCUGUUUAAGGUAUUUGGCUACAGGUGAUUCCCAUCACACUAUUGCCUUUUCCUUCCGUGUUGGACGCACUACUGUUUCCAGCAUAGUUAAAGAAGUGUGCGUCGAGAUAUGGAACGUUCUACAACCGUUGUACUUGGCUACUCCAACAGAGGAAGUUUGGAGGAAAUCUGUAGUUGGCUUUAGAGAACGAUGGAACUUUCCCAACUGCAUCGGGAGUAUAGAUGGGAAACACGUGGAAAUCAAAUGCCCUAACAAGAGUGGAUCAAGUUAUUAUUGUUAUAAAAACUUUUUUUCGAUUGUUCUCUUGUCCAUAGUUGAUCUUUACUACAAUUUUAUUGUCGUUGACAUAGAUAGUUAUGGUCGGCACAGUGAUAGUGCCAUUUUCGAGAACUCCUCUUUCUAUCGCGAUUUUGUUGAUAACAAAACAAUUCUUCCUCCAAAACCAUUACCCGGGACAGAAACCCCCGUCCCUCAUGUGUUUGUAGGUGAUGAAGGGUUCAAGUUACAAACUUAUUUGAUGCGUCCGUUCCCAAGAAAGGCGGUCGUUGAUAAUAUAGAAAAAAGAAGGUACAAUAAACGACAUUGCAGAGCACGACGUAUCGUGGAAAAUGCCUUCGGCAUUUUAACUCAAAAGUGGCGUAUAUUUUUUAGACCUAUCGAAUGUAAUGUUGAUACAGCUGUACACGUUGUCAAAGCUGCUUGUUGUCUUCACAAUUUUAUUAGAGCUAACACAGAAAAUGUCACAACUGAUGAGCUAGAAUUAACAGACGAUAUAACAAAUCAACCCACCAAUGCUUUCUCAGCCACUACUCCAUUGAAAGAACGAUCUAGUGAUGCUGCCCAUGCUGUACGAAACCAUUUCGUUAAUUACUUCAACUAUUUAAGUUCGUGAAUCAUGAUGUAAAAAUUGUAAAAAACUUGUAAAAUAUUAUUACAUAUUUAUAUUACUGUUGCAUUGUAUGAUUAAGCUCUUUGUAAUGUUUCGUGUUAAUUUGUAAAGUAUAAAUAAAUAUGUAUACAUA